rnacentral:rRNA from 1 species
GACGGAGGAUGCAAGCGUUAUCCGGAAUUAUUGGGCGUAAAGCGUCCGCAGGUGGCUGUUCAAGUCUGCUGUCAAAGCGCAGAGCUUAACUCUGUACAGGCGGUGGAAACUGAAGAGCUAGAGUAUGGUAGGGGUAGAGGGAAUUCCCGGUGUAGCGGUGAAAUGCGUAGAUAUCAGGAGGAACACCGGUGGCGAAGGCGCUCAUCUGGCCCAAUACUGACGCUGAGGCGCGAAAGCUAGGGGAGCAAACGGG